rnacentral:rRNA from 1 species
AUUGAACGCUGGCGGCAUGCCUUACACAUGCAAGUCGAACGGCAGCACGGGGGGUAACCCCUGGUGGCGAGUGGCGAACGGGUGAGUAAUAUAUCGGAACGUGUCCUGUAGCGGGGGAUAACCUAUCGAAAGAUGGACUAAUACCGCAUACGACCUACGGGUGAAAGCGGAGGACCGCAAGGCUUCGCACUAUAGGAGCGGCCGAUAUCGGAUUAGCUAGUUGGCGGGGUAACGGCCCACCAAGGCGACGAUCCGUAGCUGGUCUGAGAGGACGAUCAGCCACACUGGAACUGAGACACGGUCCAGACUCCUACGGGAGGCAGCAGUGGGGAAUUUUGGACAAUGGGCGCAAGCCUGAUCCAGCCAUGCCGCGUGAGUGAAGAAGGCCUUCGGGUUGUAAAGCUCUUUCGGCGGGGACGAAACGGUUCGUGCUAAUACCACGGACUACUGACGGUACCCGCAGAGGAAGCACCGGCUAACUACGUG